rnacentral:rRNA from 1 species
AGCGCACCCCUAUCCUUAUUUGCCAGCGCAUAAUGGCGGGAACUAUAAGGAGACUGCCGGUCAUAAACCGGAGGAAGGCGGGGACGACGUCAAGUCAUCAUGGCCCUUAUGGGUAGGGCUACACACGUGAUACAAUGGGUGGUACAGAGGGUCGCCAAAGCGCGAGCUGGAGCCAAACCCUUAAAACCAUUCUUAGUCCGGAUUGGAGUCUGCAGCUCGACUCCAUGAAGUCGGAAUCGCUAGUAAUCGCGAAUCAGAAUGUCGCGGUGAAUACGUUCUCGGGCCCUGUACACACCGCCCGUCACGUCAUGGAAGUGGGUUGCACCAGAAGUGGCUUGUUUAACCUUCGGGAAAACGGUCACCACGGUGUGAUUCACAACUGGGACGAAGUCGUAACAAGGUGGCCCUAGGGGAACCUGGGGCUGGAUCA